rnacentral:ncRNA from 1 species
UAUGCAGCGUUGAAGAAGAAGAGUAAUCCUUAUGGACACUUUAGAGAGCUGGUGGUUGGUGUGAACCAGUGUGAAUGUAUGGAUGAAUGGGCUUCUGAGCUUCCAAACCGAAACUAAAAUUUGAGCAGUAGGCUUUGGCGAAUGUCUCGUCGUUACAAGAGACGGAUAUUACGAUCUUUCUAUUAGAUCUUGAUAUUGUCAAAGUGAGCUGUUUUGUUCAGCUAAUAAAGGUGGUACCACGGGUCCUCUCGUCCUUUUC